rnacentral:ncRNA from 2 species
UAAAAACUGCGGGGGAACUCGUUAAACGAGUUGAGAAAGGUAAGACCUGACCCUUUGAACCUGUCAGUUAACACUGGUGUAGGGAAGCAGUUUUUAUCAGAUU